UACAGAGGCCCCAAGCAUUAUCCGGAAUCACUGGGCGUAAAGGGUGUGUAGGUGGCAGUGUUAGUCCUUCGUAAAAGCCCGCGGGCUUAACCCGUGGAAUGCGGAGGAAACGGCACAGCUUAGAGGAUGUAAGAGGUUACGGGAACUCAUGGUGUAGGGGUGAAAUCCGUUGAUAUCAUGGGGAACACCAAAAGCGAAGGUACGUAACUGGUACAUUCCUGACACUGAAACACGAAAGCGUGGGUAGCGAACGGG
rnacentral:rRNA from 1 species